AGUGAACGCUGGCGGUAGGCCUAACACAUGCAAGUCGAACGGCAGCACAGUAAGAGCUUGCUCUUACGGGUGGCGAGUGGCGGACGGGUGAGGAAUACAUCGGAAUCUACUUUUUCGUGGGGGAUAACGUAGGGAAACUUACGCUAAUACCGCAUACGACCUACGGGUGAAAGCAGGGGAUCUUCGGACCUUGCGCGAUUGAAUGAGCCGAUGUCGGAUCAGCUAGUUGGCGGGGUAAAGGCCCACCAAGGCGACGAUCCGUAGCUGGUCUGAGAGGAUGAUCAGCCACACUGGAACUGAGACACGGUCCAGACUCCUACGGGAGGUAGCAGUGGGGAAUAUUGGACAAUGGGCGCAAGCCUGAUCCAGCCAUACCGCGUGGGUGAAGAAGGCCUUCGGGUUGUAAAGCCCUUUUGUUGGGAAAGAAAAGCAGCAGGUUAAUACCCCGCUGUUCUGACGGUACCCAAAGAAUAAGCACCGGCUAACUUCGUG
rnacentral:rRNA from 1 species